GGAAGGAUCAUUACCACACCUCAACACCAAUCUGGAGUUCUUUCUUUCGGGAGAGGCUUUAGACUUGGCUAGACCCGCGGAUUUAUUAUUUUUGGUAUUACUUCAUUUCGGUAAAGAAAUACCCAUCAAAUCCUUUUUAUCCACUUCACAGUGCGAUGAAUACAUCCUGAUAACGAACUCAUUUCAACUGGACUGCUUGUUUCGGCAACGCACGAUAGUACAUGAAGUAACGUAAUCAAACACUUUCAGCAACGGAUGUCUUGGCUCCCACAACGAUGAAGAACGCAGCGAAAUGCGAUACGUCAUGCGAAUUGCAAAACUUAGUGAGUCAUCAAAAUUUUGAACGCAACUUGCACUUCCUUCGGGGAGUAUGUCUGUUGGAGUGUCUGUUCAUCCCCACUAUCUAACUUAACGGUUGGAAUAGAGUCGACUGUUUCUUAGUCUGUCUAAGAAAUACGUCCAGAUGAAACAAACCCGAACUCGCCCCUGCUCUGCAUGAGUAGACUGCGCGACGUGAACGAUGUAAAAAUCUAAACAACGCGCAGUUUUUCUCGUGUAUACCAAAAGAGCCCUGGUGUAGAAUCCGUUCGGACCUCCAAUCAGGCAAGAAUACCCGCUGAAUUUAAGCAUAUAACUAAGCGGAGGAAAAGAAACUAACAAGGAUUCCCUCAGUAACGGCGAGUGAAGCGGGAAGAGCUCAGACUGAAAAUCUUCGGAAUUGUAGUCUGGAGAAGUCAAGUCAGUGUUCGGUGGUGGGCAAAGUCUCCUGGAACGGAGCACCAAGGAGGGUGACAGUCCCGUCUACGCCUACCACUUGAUAUGUACGACUGGAUUUCAACGAGUCGAGUUGCUUGGGAUUGCAGCUCUAAGUGGGUGGUAAAUUCCAUCUAAAGCUAAAUAUUGGUGGGAGACCGAUAGCGAACAAGUACCGUGAGGGAAAGAUGCAAAGAACUUUGAAAAGAGAGUUAAAGAGUACCUGAAAUUGCUGAAAUGGAACCGAUGGGAGGCAGUGUUGGCAUGCGCCUAUUUUUCGUAUUCCGCAUGCGGAGUGCGCGUGUAGUCGUGUGCAAGUCAAGCUUCCUUAGGCAAGUGAGAGAGGCUCUACUCCUGUAUGGGGUGGAAUCGCCGUCAUUUGCUUGAGGGACCCUGACGAAAUGCCUCUUAUCAUCCCGUCUUGAAACACGGACCAAGGAGUCUAACAUGUGUGCGAGUGCUCGGGGUUAAACCCCCCAGCGCGGAAUUAAUGUGAAGGCGAGCUUGCUCGCUGAGGUAGGAGGCUUACGCUGCACUAUCGACCGACCAUGAUCCUUCGGGAGAAAGGUUUGAGUGUGAGCAUACAUGUUGGGACCCGAAAGAUGGUGAACUAUGCCUGAGUAGGGCGAAGCCAGGGGAAACUCUGGUGGAGGUCCGCAGCGAUUCUAACGUGCAAAUUGAUCGUCGAACUUGGGUAUAGGGGCGAAAGACUAAUCGAACCAUCUAGUAGCUGGUUCCUCC
rnacentral:misc_RNA from 1 species